rnacentral:rRNA from 1 species
GAUGAACGCUGGCGGCGUGCCUAAUACAUGCAAGUCGAGCGAACAGACGAGGAGCUUGCUCCUCUGACGUUAGCGGCGGACGGGUGAGUAACACGUGGAUAACCUACCUAUAAGACUGGGAUAACUUCGGGAAACCGGAGCUAAUACCGGGUAAUAUAUUGAACCGCAUGGUUCAAUAGUGAAAGACGGUUUUGCUGUCACUUAUAGAUGGAUCCGCGCCGCAUUAGCUAGUUGGUAAGGUAACGGCUUACCAAGGCAACGAUGCGUAGCCGACCUGAGAGGGUGAUCGACCACCCUGGAACUGAGACACGGUCCAGACUCCUACGAGAGGCAGCAGUAGGGAAUCUUCCUCAAUGGGCGAAAGCCGGACGGAGCAACGCCGCGUGAGUGAUGAUGGUCUUCGUAGCGUAGAACUCUGUUAUUAGGGAAGAACAAAUGUGUAAGUAACUAUGCACGUCUUGACGGUACCUAAUCAGAAAGCCACGGCUAACUACGUG